UUUGAAUAGGACUCGCGGCUCUGUAAAUUUACACAGACAUUAAAUUUCGUUCUAUUCAUUUUAGACAUAUAAUGCUAAGCUGAUUUUUUUUUUAUAGCACACUGAUCGAUAUCUCUGUAAAAUAAUCAUUUUUUUUUAACUAGCGGGGCAGUGAAAUCUUUGCUUUGUGCUAAAGUCAACAGUGACAGAGUUUGAGCUCAAAUAAAUGCCGUGAUGUCUGGAGCCCUUUGCAGAAGGCAGAAGGCGAGCUUCUACAAUGGGCUUCUGUGCGGCUUGCCAACAACAAGCACCGGCUAUUUUGCACAGACGCACGUGGCUUCCGUUUCAAGGACACUUUUCCAUGGCUGCACUCCGUCUGCUCUCGCCGCCCUGCAUCCAGCGACCUGAAAGCACUUCCCCGUCGAUGUACUUGGCUAUAUCUACGUCCGACCUGCCUGCCAUAUGUAAUAUCAAAGCCUCUGUCAGCGCCGAGCUGAAUGGGAACAAAAGCGAGGCCUCCAUUAAUGAUUAACUGUUCUAAAAGCCCCGGCUUUUGUAUUCCCAUGGUGCCCAGGCUAUCUGGCCACCAUGUGACAUGCUCACAGCAUUUUUCGAGCAGAUUGGGGGAAAGCUAGUGAGCAAACACAGGUGCUUUGGAGCAGCGUUGCCGACGCUGUCAGGGACAACCACAAACAAGAGCAGCUAUGCCUGGCUAAAUGAAUCCCCACCCCUCCCAGCGCCGCCACCACCACCACCACCACCCCCACCCUCUCCGUCGCUAGCUAACUUGUUUGCUAGCUCUCCAUAGCCUUCCUUCUGGAGGCCCCCCCCGCCCCCCGUGAGGCUAAUGUCCGGCCGCUUCACAACUUCUCACACACCCUCCAAAGAAACAAACAAAUAAAAGUGAGGACGGCCGACCGCUUCUUUGAGGUGAUGGCAUUUGCUGUGGUCACGACUAGUGGGAGAGCAAACAAAUUAAUGGUGUUCUAGUUUUCACUUUCCAAACCGAGCCAAACGUCUUUUAGUUCAAGUGGGGCAAUUCCACUGACCCCGGUGUCAAACGCUGCGUGAGGGCUGCACACUCUCGCACUCGAAUCGCAGAGAGGAGGCCGUGAGAAAUUAAACAGGGGGCCCGAGCAUCGGCCCACGCGAGCCUGCUGUGUUGAAACCCCUCAGGGUGACGAAUAAAUCUUAAAUAAAUGAUGUGUAAUAAACACAACAGUGGCUUAUUUUUGCCGUCUGUGUAUUUCGACAGCACACAUUAACAAGAGGUGUGGAGCUCUUAACCUUUUCCUCCAGGCCUUCCAGGACUGGGGUUGCUGUGUCGCUCAACUUUGAUAAGACAAUCAGAUGAUAGGAUGGCGUUAUCUUGACAUGGCUUUCCGGGCCGGGGGACAAAUGAACAGUGUGCGAUAACAGGAACAAAAGCUUGGCUCUUAUUUGUCCUGGCUCCAAAGACUAGAAGAAAUGAUGAGGAUGUAAAACUUACACAAUACAAUAGGUGCCUUUUAUUUCAUUUUCCAGCUCUUUUUUCCCUAAUCACUCAAAUAUUGAUAUUAUCUCUUGUUGGCAUUUUGGUUUGACAUUUUGCAAUUACCUAUUCCUAUAAAGCCGCCAUUAUCCCUUGAAAGAUGAUGAAAAAUGCUUCAAAACCAAAUGAACAGAGAAGGUAUUUGAGUUGUAAAAGUGAGACAAAUAGAUGCAAAAAAAGAGGCCUACUGAUUACAAACACUCAGCAGAUGUUUAUAGAGGAAUUGAAGGACAAAAGAAAUUGCGUGCGUGAAAUGAAGAGAUGGGAAGACGGAGGAAGACGGAGGAAGAGAAAGGUCAAAAGUUGUUCCUUCGGAGACCCGCUUCUGAUUGGUGAAAUGCAACUCCCGUUUUUGGACUUUUGCGGCCCAAUUCUAAGAGUCAGAGAGUGGUGUGUGCUCAAGGAUUCACUCAGUGCUUUGUUUGCUCUAUUGCCAUAAAAUGAUUGGAAAAAAUAUUGGUGCCAUGGCACCAAAUGUGAGAACUUUCUUAAAAAAAAUAAAAAAAUAAACUUCAGAAAUUGCAUGAAUAAAACAUUUGUUUUAAAAGCCAAAGUGUUAUGUGUUAUUUUUAAAUGUCAUUCUCCCGAAAGUUUGUUUUUAAUGAACAGUCAAUUUUGUUAAAAUGGGCAUGAAGUAGAGUCAGGUUAAACCUUUCU
ensembl:lncRNA